UGCAAGUCGAGCGCACUGGCCCAACUGAUAUGACGUGCUUGCACUGAAUUGACGUUGGAUUACCAGUGAGCGGCGGACGGGUGAGUAACACGUGGGCAACCUGCCCUGAAGUGGGGGAUAACAUCUGGAAACAGGUGCUAAUACCGCAUAACAACGAAAACCACAUGGUUUUCGUUUCAAAGAUGGUUUCGGCUAUCACUUCAGGAUGGGCCCGCGGUGCAUUAGCUAGUUGGUAAGGUAACGGCUUACCAAGGCAAUGAUGCAUAGCCGAGUUGAGAGACUGAUCGGCCACAAUGGAACUGAGACACGGUCCAUACUCCUACGGGAGGCAGCAGUAGGGAAUCUUCCACAAUGGGCGCAAGCCUGAUGGAGCAACACCGCGUGAGUGAAGAAGGGUUUCGGCUCGUAAAGCUCUGUUGUUGGAGAAGAACGUGCGUGAGAGUAACUGUUCACGCAGUGACGGUAUCCAACCAGAAAGUCACGGCUAACUACGUGCCAGCAGCCGCGGUAAUACGUAGGUGGCAAGCGUUAUCCGGAUUUAUUGGGCGUAAAGCGAGCGCAGGCGGUUGCUUAGGUCUGAUGUGAAAGCCUUCGGCUUAACCGAAGAAGGGCAUCGGAAACCGGGCGACUUGAGUGCAGAAGAGGACAGUGGAACUCCAUGUGUAGCGGUGGAAUGCGUAGAUAUAUGGAAGAACACCAGUGGCGAA
rnacentral:rRNA from 1 species